UCGCGUUUUGUUGCGAGAUCGUGGGUUUGAGUCCCACCUCGCACCUUGUUGCGAGACCGUGGGUUCGAGUCCCACCUCGCGUC
rnacentral:tRNA from 1 species